rnacentral:snRNA from 1 species
GGAUGUGAGGGCAAUCUUGGUGUGACAUCUGUCACCCCAUGGAUCACUAGGGUUGAUUCAACUGACCUGGCUGGCUAGGCAGGUGUCCUCUUCUUCCUUCACUGUUCCAUGUGUGUCCCUCCUGAAGCUGUGUGCUUGUUCAAAGCGGACAGCCUUCCACAAUAGAGGCGGGCCAUUCUUUAGUCAAGGCUAUACGGGUAGCUGUGCUCCCCUGCAAGAAUCUCCAGCAAACUUUCAAAGUUAUUGUGAAUUAUAUAAUAUGAUUUCAAAGAGAAGGAAACAGUUGGAAAACGUCCUUUCAGAAUUCAUAGGGGGAGCACCUGGGUGGCUCAUUUG